CAGUAGCCGCGGUAAUACGAGGGGAGCUAGCGUUGUUCGGAAUUACUGGGCGUAAAGCGCGCGUAGGCGGCUUUUUAAGUCAGAGGUGAAAGCCCGGGGCUCAACCCCGGAAUUGCCUUUGAAACUGGAAAGCUAGAAUCUUGGAGAGGUCAGUGGAAUUCCGAGUGUAGAGGUGAAAUUCGUAGAUAUUCGGAAGAACACCAGUGGCGAAGGCGGCUUACUGGCUCAUACUGGACGCUGAGGUGCGAAAGCGUGGGGAGCAAACAGGAUUAGAUACCCCAGUAGUCCCUGUCUCUUAUAC
rnacentral:rRNA from 1 species